ACCUGGCUGGCUCAGUCAGUGGAGCGUGCGGCUCUUGAUCUCAGGGUUGUGGGUUCGAUCCCCACGUUGGCUG
rfam:Ailuropoda melanoleuca scaffold74_6, whole genome shotgun sequence.